rnacentral:rRNA from 1 species
AUUGAACGCUGGCGGCAUGCCUUACACAUGCAAGUCGAACGGUAACGGGCCUUCGGGUGCCGACGAGUGGCGAACGGGUGAGUAAUACAUCGGAACGUGCCCGAUCGUGGGGGAUACGAGGCGAAAGCUUUGCUAAUACCGCAUACGAUCUACGGAUGAAAGCAGGGGACCGCAAGGCCUUGCGCGGACGGAGCGGCCGAUGGCAGAUUAGGUAGUUGGUGGGAUAAAAGCUUACCAAGCCGACGAUCUGUAGCUGGUCUGAGAGGAUGAUCAGCCACACUGGGACUGAGACACGGCCCAGACUCCUACGGGAGGCAGCAGUGGGGAAUUUUGGACAAUGGGCGCAAGCCUGAUCCAGCCAUGCCGCGUGCAGGAUGAAGGCCUUCGGGUUGUAAACUGCUUUUGUACGGAACGAAAAGCCUUCUUUUAAUACAGGAGGGUCAUGACGGUACCGUAAGAAUAAGCACCGGCUAACUACGUG